rnacentral:lncRNA from 13 species
GAUUUGAACCUUGAGUUUGUCUUGGCUACAGUAGUGUCACUGAUUCUACUCAUCGCUAGAUGGCGCUGUUGUCUUUCCCAUAUGAUUGCACACAACAAAGAACCAGGUAGGUUUGCGCAAUGUAAUUCUUGUACGUUUCCUUAAUUUAUGACGCUUGUACACUAUAUCAAAUAAUUAAUCUAGCACUCUUUGCAUUUUAUACUCUGUUGCCAAACUUUGUAAUAAUUUCUCUCACCAGAACUACAAGAUCACUGGACAGUAGACCGCGGGGCGGAAAUGAAGCAAAAGCAGCUGUGAAAUGUGUAAUUUGGAGACUACAGGCUACUAAAUGCAGUAAUUUUCUUGUCAAGACGAGACGACCUCAAACUUGAUAUGACACACACGUCUAAGAGAGGAUGAAGACAGAGGUGUCAGAGGAUGUCUGUCUAACUCUGCUCCCGUCUCGGCUGGCAGAUGGAGACCCUGGGUGAGAGAGACACACGUGGGGGAAGUGUGUGUGUCAGUUCUAAACUGACCUCUUGUUUCUCCCCACACAGUUGAGUGGAUCACUGACCAGAGUCCCGUCUGGACUGAAGGGGUCCCAGGACAUCCUCUACUUACUCAGGUAGUCUUCAACUCACCCCCACUUAUCUCCCAUUCCCAUUCUCUAUCUAUUGACAGGUAAGUGCCGUCAUUCCCUCACAGCCCAAACAAUAGCUCUCUAGGCAGGGAUCCUGUAGUCAGGCUAAAGAGAACCCAACCAGGCAUCACAGACAGACAGGGGCUUGACAUUGGCAGGACAAACGGCUGCAAACAGACAGAGCUCUCUGUCCCCGCUCCCCAGCAAAGUUCAGUGAAUUUACCCCUUUGCGCUGAUCAUGGGUCA